rnacentral:rRNA from 1 species
UACGAAGGGGGCUAGCGUUGCUCGGAAUUACUGGGCGUAAAGCGCGCGUAGGCGGCGCGACGCGACCGGUGUGAAAGCCCCCGGCUCAACUGGGGAGGGUCAUCGGUAACGGUCGUGCUGUGAGUGCAGGAGAGGGAUGUGGAACUCCGGGAGUAGCGGUGAAAUGCGUAGAGACCCGGAGGAACACCAGUGGCGAAGGCGGCAUCCUGGUCUGCGACUGACGCUGAGGCGCGAAAGCUAGGGGAGCGAACGGG